GCAGCCGGACAGUUUGUCGCUGAUAUCCUGGAGAUAUUUGAGGAAAGUCCGGGCAACAUAGAGCAUCCCGCUUCCUAACGCGAAGUAGACCGUGAGGUUUAAUCAGUGCAGAAGAAAACAACCGCCGGCUUCGGCCGGUAAGGGUGAGAAGGCGUGUGUAAGAGACCACCAGCCAUUUGGUGACAAUAUGGGCUGUGCACAUCGGGAGUUGAAAGUUCGCGUAUACCGUCGUCAGAGGGCGGCUCGUCCGAGCACUUAAGCGUGCGCGACGGAGGGUAGAACGAUUGAGCCUGUCGGCGACGGCAGGUCCAGAUAAAUGACAAACGUGCAAGCAGACCGAAACCUGCGUUUCUACAACGGCGUAGGUUAGCACACAAAACCCGGCUUAUCGCCCGACUGCUCUU
rnacentral:RNase_P_RNA from 1 species